rnacentral:misc_RNA from 1 species
AAGUCGUAACAAGGUUUCCGUAGGUGAACCUGCGGAAGGAUCAUUAGAAUGAGAGCCGGACCAUGUCGUGGGCGAAAGCCCAAACGUGCCAGUAAGCGCCCGUAAACCUCCACCCUUGUGUUUAUUCUUUGUUGCUUUGGUGGGCCGCAAGCCUUCGGGCGAGCACCGGGCCCUGGCUGGGAGAGUGCCUGCCAGAGGACCCCAACUCUGUAAAUUUUAGUGAUGUCUGAGUACAUUAAAAUAGUUAAAAA